CCCACAUCACUCCGCUUACACACAGAUGCCGCUGUGACCGGCCACCAACAAGUCCUGCCAACAGAGCUGUGAUCACUGAUGUGAUAAACCCGAGAAUGUGCUGGACGUGAGCCCAUGGUGUCUUACCCGAAUCUACAGCAUGGAGAGCCCACGGCCACGCGUGUGCUCACGUGUGCUGACUGCUUAUCCUGGGGACGCAUUUGCAGGCCUUGAAACCAGGUUUGAUUAAUUGGAAUUUAGAGUGGAACGCGUCUCCUGAUCAUGCCGAGUGACAUAAUCCCGCAUCUCUGGACUUGGUGUCUGUGUGUGAGGUGCCCACUGCCCCCCUGUGAGGACGAGGGGUGUGGUCCUGCCCGCAGAGCAGCCUCUGACCACACAGAUUGUUCCCGCAAC